UACGUAGGGUGCAAGCGUUGUCCGGAAUUAUUGGGCGUAAAGAGCUCGUAGGCGGUCUGUCGCGUCGGAUGUGAAAAUCCAGGGCUCAACCCUGGACCUGCAGCCGAUACGGGCAGGCUAGAGUUCGGUAGGGGAGACUGGAAUUCCUGGUGUAGCGGUGAAAUGCGCAGAUAUCAGGAGGAACACCGGUGGCGAAGGCGGGUCUCUGGACAGUUCCUGACACUGAGGCACGAAGGCCAGGGGAGCAAACGGG
rnacentral:rRNA from 1 species